UGGAUGAGUGGCGAACGGGUGAGUAACACGUGAGUAGCCUGCCCCCUUCUUUGGGAUAACGCCCGGAAACGGGUGCUAAUACUGGAUAUUCACUGGCCUUCGCAUGGGGGUUGGUGGAAAGGUUUGUUCUGGUGGGGGAUGGGCUCGCGGCCUAUCAGCUUGUUGGUGGGGUGAUGGCCUACCAAGGCUUUGACGGGUAGCCGGCCUGAGAGGGUGACCGGUCACAUUGGGACUGGGAUACGGCCCAG
rnacentral:rRNA from 1 species